rnacentral:rRNA from 1 species
CAUGCAAGUCGAACGAACCUUCGGGUUAGUGGCGGACGGGUGAGUAACGCGUGAGAAUCUGCCCUCAGGAGGGGGAUAACAGUUGGAAACGACUGCCAAUACCCCAUAUGCCGAGAGGUGAAAUGAAUUUCGCCUGGGGAUGAGCUCGCGUCUGAUUAGCUUGUUGGUGGGGUAAUAGCCUACCAAGGCUUCGAUCAGUAGCUGGUCUGAGAGGACGAUCAGCCACACCGGGACUGAGACACGGCCCAGACUCCUACGGGAGGCAGCAGUGGGGAAUUUUCCGCAAUGGGCGAAAGCCUGACGGAGCAACGCCGCGUGAGGGAUGGAGGCCUUUGGGCUGUAAACCUCUUUUCUCAAGGAAGAAGAUCUGACGGUACUUGAGGAAUAAGCCACGGCUAAUUCCGUGCCAGCAGCCGCGGUAAUACGGGAGUGGCAGGCGUUAUCCGGAAUUAUUGGGCGUAAAGCGUCCGCAGGCGGCCGUUUAAGUCUGUUGUUAAAUCGUGGAGCUCAACUCCAUCACGGCAAUGGAAACUGUUCGGCUUGAGUAUGGUAGGGGCAGAGGGAAUUUCCGGUGUAGCGGUGAAAUGCGUAGAUAUCGGGAAGAACACCAGUGGCGAAAGCGCUCUGCUGGGCCAUUACUGACG